GGAAUAUUGCGCAAUGGGCGGAAGCCUGACGCAGCGACGCCGCGUGAGGGAUGAAGGUCUUCGGAUUGUAGACCUCUUUCAGCAGGGACGAAGCGUGAGUGACGGUACCUGCAGAAGAAGCACCGGCCAACUACGUGCCAGCAGCCGCGGUAAUACGUAGGGUGCAAGCGUUGUCCGGAAUUAUUGGGCGUAAAGAGCUCGUAGGCGGUUUGUCGCGUCGAAUGUGAAAGCCCGGGGCUCAACUCCGGGUCUGCAUUCGAUACGGGCAGACUAGAGUUCGGUAGGGGAGACUGGAAUUCCUGGUGUAGCGGUGAAAUGCGCAGAUAUCAGGAGGAACACCGGUGGCGAAGGCGGGUCUCUGGGCCGAUAUUGACGCUGAGGAGCGAAAGCGUGGGGAGCAAACAGGAUUAGAUACCCGAG
rnacentral:rRNA from 1 species